rnacentral:lncRNA from 1 species
CAUAUUCGAUUCGCAGGUAAUUUUCUAUAACAUCUUAAACACGACCUGUUCACACCGUUGGAUGGUAGCUAGCGUUAUGACGUCACAAAAUCCGAUCAUAAGAUGACCCCGUCGGGUCAACCAUGUUACCCACUUGUAGACCUAAGUUGCCAUCUGGGUCGUUUUCUCACGUCCCAUGUACCAGAUGGUCUACUCCGUGUAGCUUACUUCCCCGUUGAACCAAAAUGGAACGUACCGUUAGUUCGUCUUCUUUCCGCCAGGUGUUUGACGUCGGGAAAAUUAGAUUUUCGGUUACCGAUCGCUCACAUCUGCUUGAACACUCCGCCCAAUCGUUUACGUCCAUGGACACAAGACCGUUACAUAACGUUUUAGUUGGGAGGGAAGUUAAUCCCUCCUUCCCCAAAAAAACUACGAUCGAAAAACUUGAAAAUCAACUCCGUUUUGGUGUCCCGAAUCCGAAUGCCAAACCAAUCGCCGUUUAGUCUUAUGUACUGUAUUCCAAAAGAGAAAUUAAAUCUUUAAUGAAUAAAAUUCAUUUUUUUUUUUUUCUUUCUUUAGUAAAAAGCUGGAAGGAUAAUUUUGUUAUCAGUGGUUGACACAACACAAUUAGUUUUUAUUCUCCGGCAGAAGCCGAUAAGUUUUCCCCUUUUCCCUCCCAAGAUAGAAAAUGAGUCGGUAAAGCUUAUUAUAGUCGAAUAGAAGUUUACGAAAGGUUAUUGAUCAUCUAUUCCUUAACCAUUCGUAAAUCUGUGGGUAAUUAAGUGCUAAAUGAACCACACACAUCGCCGAAGCCCAAAAUGUCCAGGGAAAACAAAUAUCGAUUUCUUCACUACAGUAGAAUUUAUGGGUUCUUUGAUCCGAAUAAAAAAGUUUUGAUAAAUUUGUUAAAUCUUGUUUCUUUUAAUA